GAUGAACGCUGGCGGCGUGCCUAACACAUGCAAGUCGAACGAACCAACUUGGAAGAAACAAGACACAAGAUACAAUGACCAAACUGGGAUUUGUUACUUGUUUCUUGUAUCUUACCAACCGAGUUGGUUAGUGGCGGACGGGUGAGUAACACGUUGGUACCUGCCCCGAAGUGGGGGAUAACUGCCCGAAAGGGUAGCUAAUACCGCAUAGUCUCGUUUACGAGUAAAGCAGUAAUGCGCUUCGGGAGGGGCCNGCGUCCGAUUAGCUUGUUGGUAGGGUAAUGGCCUACCAAGGCUGCGAUCGGUAGCUGGUUCGAGAGGAUGACCAGCCACACUGGGACUGAGAUACGGCCCAGACUCCUACGGGAGGCAGCAGUGAGGAAUCUUCCGCAA
rnacentral:rRNA from 1 species